rnacentral:rRNA from 1 species
AUUGAACGCUGGCGGCAGGCCUAACACAUGCAAGUCGAACGAGUGGCGGACGGGUGAGUAAUGUCUGGGAAACUGCCCGAUGGAGGGGGAUAACUACUGGAAACGGUAGCUAAUACCGCAUACCAUCGGAUGUGCCCAGAUGGGAUUAGCUAGUAGGUGGGGUAACGGCUCACCUAGGCGACGAUCCCUAGCUGGUCUGAGAGGAUGACCAGCCACACUGAACCUGAGACCCGGUCCAGACCCCUACGUGAGGCAGCAGGGGGGAAUAUUGCACAAUGGGCGCAAGCCUGAGGCAGCCAUGCCGCGUGUGUGAAGAGGGCCUUCGGUUUGUAAAGUACUUUCGGCGAGGAGGCGUGCCACGAAGAAGAAGCCCCGGCUAACUCCGGGCCAGCAGCCGCGGUAAUAC